rnacentral:rRNA from 1 species
UACGUAGGGGGCAAGCGUUGUCCGGAUUUAUUGGGCGUAAAGAGCUCGUAGGUGGUUCGGUAAGUCGGAUGUGAAAUCUCCAGGCUCAACCUGGAGGGGUCAUUCGAUACUGCCGUGACUAGAGUUCGGUAGGGGAGUGUGGAAUUCCUGGUGGAGCGGGUGAAAUGCGCAGAUAUCAGGAGGAACACCCGUAGCGAAGGCGGCACUCUGGGCCGAUACUGACCACUGAGGAGCGAAAGCGUGGGGAGCGAACAGG